CAAUAGCGUAUAUUUAAGUUGUUGCAGUUAAAAAGCUCGUAGUUGGAUUUCGGUUAAGAGCGACCGGUCCGCCGUUUGGUGUGCACUGGUUGGUUUUAACUUCCUGUAGAGGACGUGCUCUGGGUUUAACGACCUGGACUCGGAGUCUACGUGGUUACUUUGAAAAAAUUAGAGUGUUCAAAGCGGGCUUACGCUUGAAUAUUUCAGCAUGGAAUAACACUAUAGGACUCCUGUCCUAUUUCGUUGGUCUCGGGACGGGAGUAAUGAUUAAGAGGAACAGUUGGGGGCAUUCGUAUUUCAUUGUCAGAGGUGCAAUUCUUGGAUUUAUGAAAGACGAACUUCUGCGAAAGCAUUUGCCAAGGAUGUUUUCAUUAA
rnacentral:rRNA from 1 species